GGCACGGAUUCAUUCGUUCGUACACUCAAGACUGGUUGCUUCUUUGUUUCUAAAACUAGUUUCUUGCGCUUCGAUGUCUCGCGUUAUUUAACUUGGGGUGAAGUUACGUGUUUGCAAGCGGACAUGUAAGCCCGGCAGUUGGGUUUCGGUCGUGAGCCAUUCGGAACAGGUCUGCAUCGAAACGGGAGCUGGAUUUUGCUGCGGCUGACAACGGCAAUAACGACAUGCAGUAAUGAGGACGGCACCAGUAUAAAGCAACACACUCCACGCACUAAACAGAAGCUGCUGCCUGCUACAACAAGGUCAUUGUGUGGACAUUGGCUACUACUACAAGAGUCUAUGCCAAGCACAUCUUGGUCAUCACAGGAGCUCCUAUCUGCGCCAAUAGGAAGGGGCUGGAGCCGAAUUUGCAAGGCUUUUACACCAAGAACAAAGAAGCACAUGCAGAAGAAUAUGAAUGAGAUAUCAAGUCUGCAGAGGACUGUGUCAAGACUGAAAAGAGCUUCAGCCACCAUUCCACCAGCACGGACAUUUGGCUGAGUCAUCCAGGUAACUCAAAAAGGACUUUCCAGAAAUUCUUCGUCUUCAGAUGCACCUGCAACAUCUGACCAAGCACGGACGACGCUGGCCAAAAGAUUGAGUUCCAUCAGUUUGCCCUUAAUCAGCUUCCUAGCCAUGUUAAUUCCGUUUGUGCCAAGUGUAAUUUUUCUUCUAUAAAUGCAAGCUUUCUCAUUGCCCAUUUUUGUUAGAGGUCAUUCGUCCUCAUCCAAAUAUAAAGGUCAACCGAUUCUUCG